rnacentral:lncRNA from 1 species
AUGGCACAGUGAUGUGGAAUACAGUUAUCUCUGAAGAAUUAAAAAUGAUCACCAUGCAGGAAAAAAGGAAUGACUCUCAGCAGCUUCCAAAUGGACUAUUGCAACGAGUCCAACUGAAGACUGUGAUGCCUUUGUACGCAUGCCCUCCUUAACCCAGCCGGAUCAUUUUAAAGCUUCUCAUGGCUUCUGAUCUGCAAAAUGAGGAGAUGGAAGGUGAUUUCUGAGGUCUUUCCCAGCCAGGAGUACUCUGGAUCUGUAGCAUCAAUUGCUGAAAUAGAUUCUCCAGAGGCUGUUUCUUCUCGACUCAUUCAAGCACCAAGAGCAGAAGCCUUUCUUGGCUGCUGGUCUCAGGGCACCUCUGCCUCUUAUGUUCCCUGGAACUACAGCUUGGGGUGAAGACAAUUUUCCUGGAAACACAUUCAUUUCAAACUGACUCUCUUCUAACCCCCCAAUAAAAGAAGGUAAUGUAUAGUGACCA